AUUGAACGCUGGCGGCAGGCCUAACACAUGCAAGUCGAGCGGACGAAGGGAGCUUGCUCCUGGAUUCAGCGGCGGACGGGUGAGUAAUGCCUAGGAAUCUGCCUGGUAGUGGGGGAUAACGUCCGGAAACGGGCGCUAAUACCGCAUACGUCCUGAGGGAGAAAGUGGGGGAUCUUCGGACCUCACGCUAUCAGAUGAGCCUAGGUCGGAUUAGCUAGUUGGUGGGGUAAAGGCCUACCAAGGCGACGAUCCGUAACUGGUCUGAGAGGAUGAUCAGUCACACUGGAACUGAGACACGGUCCAGACUCCUACGGGAGGCAGCAGUGGGGAAUAUUGGACAAUGGGCGAAAGCAUGAUCCAGCCAUGCCGCGUGUGUGAAGAAGGUCUUCGGAUUGUAAAGCACUUUAAGUUGGGAGGAAGGGCAGUAAGUUAAUACCUUGCUGUUUUGACGUUACCAACAGAAUAAGCACCGGCUAACUUCGUG
rnacentral:rRNA from 1 species